UGUCCCUGCAAUGAAACACAAGCAGGGAAGAUAUUUUACUCAGAGAUAUAAACCAAUACCUUUUAGUCAGCCACGGAGGCACAAUGACAACAGAAGGAAGCAACAUCAAACCAGACAGAGACAAACUCCUGACCUCUCAACCCUCAACCUCGGGACAAACAUUUGGAAGUUCAGGUUGAGGAUCUGGUAGCACCCUCUGUUUAAGACAGUCACAUCCCUACCAACUAUUCUGCAAAUGUUUAGCACCCUUCUACCCCCAGUGGUCUUCUAUUACAACAGACAGAUGGGUAUUGGACUUUAUAAAGGACGGAUAAUGUAUCCCACUUUGUCUGCCUCCCCUUUCCACCCUUCCUUCUUGUCCCUCUUCAGGGACCCAUCUCACCAAAACAUUCUCCUCUAGGAGCUCGACCACCUGCUCCAAUUAGGGGCUAUAGAACCAGAGUGCCUCACUGUUACAGAGGCAAAGGUUUUUACUUCCAUUACUUUCUCACAACAAAAAAGUCAGGAGGAUGGAGAACAAACCUUGAUCUCAGGAGGCUCAAUCGCUACAUACAACUACAAUGGUUCAAGAUGGUCACCUUAUCUACAAUAAUCCCUACCUUAAAUGAAGGAGACUGGUUAUCGACUCUCGACCUCCAGGAUGCAUACUUCCAUGUUUCCAUUCACCCAGCACACAGGAAGUACCUCAGAUUCACGGUUUGCUACACAAACUUCCAAUGCACAGUGCUGCUAAUCAGACUCUCCACAGCUCCAAGGAUCUUUUUGAAGGUGCUUGCAGUGGUCACCGCUCAUCUCCGCAGACAAGGGAUCUUUAUAUUUUCAUGCCUCAAUGACUGCCUGAUAAGUGCACACACAAGUCAAAAAGCAGAAGAUGCAGUUUUCCUAACCAAGACACUAUUCCAGACCCUCAGCCUACAGAUAAAUCUGCUCAAGUGCAAACUACAACCAGCUCAGAUAAUAGAUUUUAUUGGAGCCCAUCUCAGUUGCUGUGACGAGGUGCCCCCGUCCCCGUGCCCUCCCACGGACAACCCCGAGGUCCGGGGGGAUGGAAGGGAGACCGGCACGCUCCCCUGGUGGUGUGGCACAUGCGCCAAGGUCCGCGCACCGCAUUUAAAGAGCGGGCAGAUCAGCUGUUGGGGGGCGGAAGCAGCCAGGGACACGGAGCAGGUGCAAGGCUCCGGGAGAGGGGCCGGAGAUGCCGAGCGGCUGGGAGAGCGGCCGGAGAUGCCGAGCGGGCGGAGGGCGGCUGGAGGCACCGAGGCGAGGCAGCUGGAGGUGCUGGGUCAGCAGAGGCAGCCGGGGAGGUCGGCGGAAGGCGGGGAACUGAGGCGCCAGAGGAAGAGGGGUCCAGACCCCAGGACACGCACAGGACCUGAGGCCAGGGCAGCCGAAGAUGACACCUCUUGGCAGCACUCCCAACAAACCCCAGAGGGGCCGUGAGUAACCCCACGGCGGGCGCCAAGACCUCCCCACCCCAAACGACUGGUGACUCUUCCCCAACCCUAGGGAAACAUACGGCUUGCUGGGUGGUAGGUUGGUCUCUCAUAAGUUCACUUGCGUAGACUGAUACCUAACCCCCUUCACGGUACAAGCCCAGAGCAAAGGUAGGGGUGGAUCCAAGUCCUUAGGGCCCUGGGCUGGGGCCCAUGAGCGAGGGUGGGUCCGGGCUCCCCCUUCUCCCUCCACAUUAUCCCUUGUCGCCGUAACUAGGGUGUUGUGGCGGCGCUGUAAGAAGGGAAUAGAAGUUUGAGGCUGAUUCGAGGGAGGGGUGAUGGUGAUGCCGGUGAUGAGCACCCGAGACAGACUGUAGGCGGUCCAGUAAUGGGCUGAGUGAAGACAGUCAGUUGGGGCACUGAGGCACGGUGGGGGAGGCGGGCACAGGAGCGCCUCCUGACAAUUAGACAUAGAUCUUUUUCUGGGGCAGAGAAGGAAUUCAAGAGAUGAGUGCAUAGUAGUGACACUGCACAUGCCAUCUGCUCUGUGUGAGCAGCCUACCAAGGACACUGCUACCUACAAUCUCCGACUAGUGGCACAUCAGUGCCCAGUCACCUAAGGUGGAUCACCCAUAGGCACAACCAUCUUGAAGAACCUCCAUUACUGCACACGAGCUUCAGGGAGCUUCUCAACCAGCAAUCAACCAGACACUCCCCACCCCCUUCCCCUUCUCUUGCAAUAGCUUGAAAUCAAGGAUGACCAAAAAAUGAGGACACCCCAUCGAAGUAAAAAUACUCUCCUCUAUAGCUUGGAUAGUAAAACUACAUGUGCUUGAAGGUUGACAGCCAUUCAAUGUCGAUUAAGCAACUGACAGCAGUAGAACCAGCCAGAAUAGAGAAGAUUACACCCCAGCAUGCAACACCAGACUGGAGCAAAUAUCUUAUUAAAUUAUGACCCAUUCUUCUGAAGUUCUCAGCACCCUUACUUCCAUUGACUUUGGUGAGCACAGAAUCUUAAGAUUCAAAAGUUGCAAGAACAGUAACUUCAAAAGCACAAUACAACCAAAAGACUAUACAGAAUAAAAGAACAAAUGCAAAGAGGAUCAAGACCUUUCAGUGAGAUCAGCUAUUAGCUAAUUAAAUAUGUGAAUAAAAUACAUCAUGUUAAACAGAAGCACUAUUGGUGAUGGGUAAUCUAUUAGGCAAACAAAUGGUAGUGAAAUUUUUUUCACUUUAGAGAGAAACAUUAUUGAUCUUAAUAUGAUUCAC